ensembl:lncRNA
UCUGCUUUAUAAGUUACCCUUCACCACAGGACCAGUUUCUAGAUGGUAAGAAUUCCAAGAAUCAUCAAGUCCAAUGUCUACUAAAGCAGACAAAUACAGUUUAAUGUUGAGGACGUGGGAUGUUCAAGGAAAAAUAUGUGAAAGAAUGUCUUUGAAUAAAUCUCAGAUCUGUUCUGCAAACAACAUGCUUAUCAAAAGAUGACUUUGAAGGCUUAUGAGAGACAGCAAGCAUGGUUAGAUGAGCAAACCUGGUUUGGAAUUGUGCCAUGUCCUUGGACCUUCCUACACAAAAAUGUUAAUCACACUUCUUCUAAAAACAAGAACAGAGAGAAUUGUGCACUUGUUUGUUUGGAUUGAUCCUGCCAGGACUGAGAGUUUAGCCAGCAAAGUGCAGCCAGGGGCUUGCUGGAGGAUUUUGUCUCAGAAGACACCAACAGUGAAGAUGAGAAAAAUCUAUUGGCAACCUGGAAAACAGCCAUUUGAAACUUCAAGAUUACAGAACACUCUUCUAGAUGUGACCUCUUCUGGAAGACAGUCUCUCGGACUAUUGUUGGUAAGAUGUCAAACAAUUAGAUGGGAAAACUGGAAUGGAACCCAGUGUCAUGCAGUUGGAGUCUUUUGGUGUGAGAGGGCUUUUUGACAGGAGGAAGAGCUGGGAACUGAGUAUGUGAUGCAGGUUCUGGAGGAAGCUACAUGAAAGCAUAUAAACAUCAGGAGUGUGAUAUCAACAGGUGAAUAUAAGGAUAUGAGAGAUCAAACAGGCUGUGUAUCUCCAUACUACAACCACAGCCUGAGAUACGCUAAGAGCCCAACACUCGUAGGAAAGAAACAAUUGCCUAAGAGCGCAGCUUUCCAUUCUGAGAACCUAAUCUGAAGUGCAGCACGUGUGCCUGGAGCUACAAAUUCAAAAAUCAGUGGCAGCACUGGGGAUGCUCCAGGCCUACAAAGAACAGGGCACAGCCUGCACCUUCCCUGUCCACAUGCAACAGCUGUGACUGAGACACUGUGACAAGUCUCCAUCUGCAGACUUGGGAGCUCUAAUACCUUAAGAGCAAGAGAAGUUGUGUUAUUCAAAAAAGUGAAGGAGCUUUGGCCUAGAUAUAUGUUUUUUUUUUUUUUUUNNNNNNNNNNNNNNNNNNNNNNNNNNNNNNNNNNNNNNNNNNNNNNNNNNNNNNNNNNNNNNNNNNNNNNNNNNNNNNNNNNNNNNNNNNNNNNNNNNNNUUUUUUUUUUAAGAUAAUAUUUAAUAAAAACAAAAUUUUAAAAUAAGAUAUACCAUUGUAAAGUCUGCAAAUACUCUCAAGCUAUUCUAUUUUUCCAUUCAGUAUCCUGUUGGCUUGAAUUAUCCUUAUAAAUGAUACUAAGUUUAAUAACCAUCCAAAUAGUUUAAACAGGUCUCAAAGAAGAGGGGAAAAAAUGCUUCAUCUUGAGAACUGAAAUGUGAUUGCCUUGACAGAGAGGAAACCAGCACACAAUCAUAUGCAUUCACUGAACACUGACAAAUAAGCGUCUUGAGGGUCUGGUUUUUAUAGUACCUGAGGAAGAAGAGUACCCAUUAUGUAAGCUGCCUGUCAGGAAUAGAAAGUUACUACUUUGGUUUCCUAUGUAUCUCUUCUGAAUCAAGAAGUACUGCAGCUGUGCUGGAGGGCCAGAGGUGGACGUUUUCACUUAAUGGCAAAGCUGACCAUUAGAGGCAGAAUCAUCAAGGCUGGAAAAGACCUCUAAAGAUGAUCUAGUCUGCUAGCACAAUACAUUAGAAUAGAUUACAAGAACAGAGAUGCCUUCCAAUAAAUCCAUUACAGAUAUGAUGAUUGAGAUGUCUCUGUUGGGAUACAAUAGCGGUAAUGCUGCUAGAAGAAAUGAAAAUUAAAAUACAAACACAAUUUAAAGAACAGUGAGGUAGCAUUUUAAUUUAUUUUGAAAUGCCCAAUUCCACACAAAGCCCAGUGCAGGAAGCCUGGAGCCACCCCCCCAUCCCUCCCCAACAUAUCCUCUCUGGGUGGGAAACCCCAAGGCCACAGCUCUGCUCCUGCCCCCAGCACACAGUGUGAACACAGGUCACUCAAUAAGUAACCAAUUGUACCACGCUAAUAAAAAUACACUUCUUGGCAAAGCAUUUGAUUUGGCUCCAUCUCACUUGAUGAAGAGUGCUUUAUUAAAUUAGGUCAAUUCGCUUACCUGAAGUUUGCUGAAACUGUUCUUGCAAUACCACAUGUUGAGCAUCCUUCUAAAGGCUCACAGAAGAACACCUGCAAGCUGCCUACGUCAGAAGCAUCAAUCCCUGACUGAACAGCAGGUUCUGUUCCUCUCUCCCAGCAAUGUGAAUGCUGAGCUGCAGAUAUAUCACAAGGAAAUACAUAUGCAUAAAAUUCUCCCUGCAA